AAGCAGGGGAAGUAAGGGCUGGGUAAGACGGGUGCCAGCCGCCGCGGUAAUACCCGCAGCCCGAGUGGUGGUCGAUAUUAUUGAGCUUAAAGCGUCCGUAGCCUGUCUGGUAAAUUCUUGGGUAAAUCGUGCAGCUUAACUGUCCGAAUUCCGGGGAGACUGCCAGACUUGGGACCGGGAGAGGUUGGAGGUACUCCUGGGGUAGGGGUAAAAUCCCGUAAUCCUGGGAGGACCACCAGUGGCGAAGGCGUCCAACUGGAACGGAUCCGACGGUCAGGGACGAAGCCCUGGGUCGCGAACUGGAUUAGAUACCCAGGUAGUCCAGGGUGUAAACGCUGCAGACUUGGUGUCGGAGGUCCUACGAGGGCGUCCGGUGCCGGAGAGAAAUUGUUAAGUCUGCCGCUUGGGGAGUACGUCCGCAAGGAUGAA
rnacentral:rRNA from 1 species